GAUGAAGAACGUAGCGAAAUGCGAUACUUGGUGUGAAUUGCAGAAUCCCGUGAACCAUCGAGUCUUUGAACGCAAGUUGCGCCCGAAGCCGUCAGGCCGAGGGCACGCCUGCCUGGGCGUCACACGCCGUUGCCCCCCCCGCGCCCCGCACCCAACUCUUUGGGAGCGACCGCGGGGCGGGCUGAUGAUGGCCUCCCGUGCGCUCCGCCGCGCGGUUGGCCCAAAUACCGAGUCCCCGGCGACGUGCGCCACGACGAUCGGUGGUGGAGAGACCUCUGUCGCAAGUCGUGCGCGCCCGUCGCGUCACGCGGGCUCGCAUAGCGCCUCGCGCCGCACCCGGUGCGGAGCUUUCAACGCGACCCCAGGUCAGGCGGGGUUACCCGCUGAAUUUAAGCAUAUCAAUAAGCGGAGGA
rnacentral:misc_RNA from 1 species